rnacentral:rRNA from 1 species
UACGUAGGGACCAAGCGUUGUUCGGAUUUACUGGGCGUAAAGGGCGCGUAGGCGGCGUGACAAGUCACUUGUGAAAUCUCUGGGCUUAACCCAGAACGGCCAAGUGAAACUGUUGUGCUAGAGUGCAGAAGGGGCAAUCGGAAUUCUCGGUGUAGCGGUGAAAUGCGUAGAUAUCGAGAGGAACACCUGCGGCGAAGGCGGGUUGCUGGGCCGACACUGACGCUGAGGAGCGAAAGCGUGGGGAGCAAACAGG